GUGCUCACUUCAAGUAUAUAUACUAAAACUGGAAUGAUAAAGAAAAGUUUAGCAUGGUCCCUGCACAGGAAUGCCCUGCAAAUUUGUGAAGCGUCUCAUUUUUAA
rnacentral:snRNA from 1 species